GCGCUGGUGUUGGGGGCAGGAGGAGAAAGACAGGCAGGUCUCAUCUUACUUGGAUGCCUGUUGUAAGCUUGUAAUCCUCUCUGUUGGCCACCACAGCUCCUCCAUUUGAUGACGACGGGCCAUUUGUUCCAGGGCUCAUGGAUGGAAGGGACUUGCCUUGUCUCAGAUGAGACUUUGGACUGCAGCUUUUGACUUAAUGCUGAAAUGCGCACUUAUCAGGGACCUACCAAGCACUGAGCACAUCCGUGAAAUAAAACACAGGGCCAGGCGCGGUGGCUCAGGCCUGUAAUCCCAGCAUUUUGGGAGGCCGAGAUGGGCGGAUCAUGACGUCAGGAAUUCGAGACCAGCCUGACCAACAUGGUGAAACCCCGUCUCUACUAAAAAUACAAAAAUUAGCUGGGCGUGGUGUUGCAUGCCCAUAAUCCCAGCUAAUCAGGAGGCUGAGGCAGGAGAAUCACUUGAACCCGGGAGACGGAGGUUGCAGCCAGCGAAGAUCACGCCACUGCGCUCCAGCCUGGGCGACAGAGCAAGACUUCGUCUCAAAAUAAACCAAACCAAAACAAAAAAAGAACACACAGUUGUCACACUCAAGGAUUUUACCAUGGAGUUGAAGAGAAGAAACAUACACAUUUCAACAACAGUGAUCAAGCAUUCAUGAUGUAGCAGGCCCCC